UACGGAGGAGGCAAGCGUUAUCCGGAAUUAUUGGGCGUAAAGCGUCCGCAGGUGGCACUUCAAGUCUGCCGUCAAAGACUGGGGCUUAACCCUGGAAAGGCGGUGGAAACUGAAGCGUUAGAGUGUGGUAGGGGUAGAGGGAAUUCCCGGUGUAGCGGUGAAAUGCGUAGAGAUCGGGAAGAACAUCGAGUGGCGAAGGCGCUACGUCUGGACCACAAC
rnacentral:rRNA from 1 species